GACGAACGCUGGCGGCGUGCUUAACACAUGCAAGUCGAACGGAAAGGCCCUGCUUGCAGGGUACUCGAGUGGCGAACGGGUGAGUAACACGUGGGUGAUCUGCCCUGCACUUCGGGAUAAGCUUGGGAAACUGGGUCUAAUACCGGAUAGGAGCCAUCUUUAGUGUGGUGGUUGGAAAGUUUUUUCGGUGUAGGAUGAGCUCGCGGCCUAUCAGCUUGUUGGUGGGGUAAUGGCCUACCAAGGCGGCGACGGGUAGCCGGCCUGAGAGGGUGUACGGCCACAUUGGGACUGAGAUACGGCCCAGACUCCUACGGGAGGCAGCAGUGGGGAAUAUUACACAAUGGGCGCAAGCCUGAUGCAGCGACGCCGCGUGGGGGAGGAAGGCCUUCGGGUUGGAAACUCCUUUCGCUAGGGACGAAGCUUUUUGUGACGGUACCUAGAUAAGAAGCACCGGCUAACUACGUG
rnacentral:rRNA from 1 species